rnacentral:rRNA from 1 species
AAAUUCUUAGAUGUUUUUAUGGGACGAGAAGACCCUAUAGAGUUUUACAUUUGUUUCUUCUUUUAUUUUUAUUUGUUUGUUUUUAUUGUAGAGUGGUUUAAGUGUUUUGUUGGGGUGAUGGGAGGAAUUUUUUUAACUCCUCUUUGUUUUUAUAUACUUAUUUGUAUUUUUUUGAUCCAUUUGUUUUGAUUAUAAGAUUAAAUUACCUUAGGGAUAACAGCGUUAUCUUCCUUGAGAGUUCUUAUUGGCGGGAAGGUUUGCGACCUCGAUGUUGGAUUAAGAUUAAUUUUCGGUGCAGAAGCUGAAACUGAUUAGGUCUGUUCGACCUUUAAAAUCUUACAUGAUCUGAGUUCAGACCGGCGUGAGCCAGGUUGGUUUCUAUCUAUAAAUUUUUGUUAUAUCUUAGUACGAGAGGACCGGAUGU